GAAAUUGCAAUUGAAAAUCCGACAGCACCAUGGUUCUGCAAAGAUGAUGCCCAGUUUAGCAGCAACCUCAAAUCAACAACAUCGUUGCAGUUCACAAUCAAACCUAGUAACAUGAUGUUCAAUUUGGGGAUUUGAUCAAAUCUUGAUUAAAAUGCAUGGUAUAUCAAAUUUUUUGAAAGUUUAAUAAAGUAUAUCAAUAUCAAAGGUGUAACAAUGGAUGUAAAAUAAUUUUAUUUCCCCCCUUUAUAAGAACAUACUUUAUAGCAACAAAAUUUAAAAUGUAUAAAAUAGCACAUUAAGACUAAUAAUUGUGUUGUAAAAGUAAAUAAUUGCUAAUUUUUUUUUAUUUCCAAACAUGAGUCGCAAACAUAUUGUAUGAAUAUACAUUAGAUAUGAAAAUAACAAUGUACUUAUCACUUAAUACAAAAUAGCAAUGUACUUUUAUGUUCUUACUUGUUUAACAUGAUCAUAUAAUCGUUUCUCCUUGUUUCUUUCUUUAACUGUAAUUGAACAAAAGGGGUUAAAUACAUGAAAUGGCAAGGAUCUGGGCACAAAAUUAAUGAAAUAAUUUUAAAAUAUAAUACUUGAAAAAAAAUAAAAAAAAGGUAUUAUGGUUAUUGUAUUCGUAACAGGGACAAAAUGUUAUAAGUGCCUCAAAAUAAGGAAAAAAUGUACAAAAUAUGUUUUUUUGCAUCAAACCAAACCAAUUAAAUAUACUUAGGGACCAAAUAUGUAAUUCAUUCUAAAAUAAUGACAUAAUGCAAAAAAGUUCUUCACUCAAGGUCAGGAUGACAACAUUAAUUCAAAUUGUGGUUUGAUGUGAUAGUCAAUUGUCACUACUACACCUUUCGUGGCUAAGGGCUGUUUGGUAGGAUCUGAAUUAUUAAGAUCUGAAUUUUUAAGAGGUCUGAAUUUCUAAGAGGCUCUGAACUUUUAAGAUUUAAACUUUUAACAUGUUGUUUGGUUGGAACCUCUGAAUUGUAAUCUGAAUGACAAAAAUGACCAUUUUACCCUUUUGUGGCUCUAUAUUGUGCUAAAUUAUAAAACAUAAUUGAUAAAAAUUACAAGUUAUCAUACAAUAACCAAAUUAAGCAUAAAUUCUUUCGUAUUCACUUUUUUCAAUCCAAUAAAACAUAUAAGUCAUACAAUAAAACCAAGUUAAACAUAAAUUCUUCCAUUCACUUCUUUUAAUCCAUGAAAACAUAAACAUCAUACAAUAUCCAAAUAAAGAUACUUCUUUCAAUCCAUGUUGCAACUAGUGACAUUGGAAAAAACACCACCACCUAUCCCAUAUGUCUUGAAACCAAAUUUACUUCCUACACACUUAAGAAACAACAAAAAAUCACACUUUUUAUCAACAAAAAAAUUAGCACAAAUCAAAAGAAAUCAUACCAUCAGAUGUGGAGAAAUUAGACCAUCAAAAUUUUUAUAAAGAAAACAUCUGAUGAAAUCAACACACAAUUCCAUCAUAACAUAAUCUGUUAGAAGCAAAACAUUCCGGAAAGAACAAAUUCAACUCUUAUUAUCGGAUUUUAGGGCAAAGAGGAAGAAAACGAUCGAUUUUCAGACCAAAACAGCCAAAACAUCUGAAAAAAUCUGGAAAAAAAACGACCAAAACAGCCCUAAUAUGUUAAAUUCGAUUUCCAGAUGAAGAAGAAAAGAAAAAUCUGAUACUCGAUUUUAAAGGGGAGGCAUCAUCGAUUUUCAGACCAAACAAUUCAUAAAAACAGUAAAGUUAUCGAGUUUGGGGGGAAAGAAGGAAGAAACUCACCUGGAACAUCGGAAACGGAGGCGGCAACAUCGUUCGAGGAGGCGGCAACGACGUUGCGGUGCAGCGGCAUCGUUGCAGGCGGCGUCGUCGGAGAACCUGGUGAAGGUAUGAACCUCGCACACGGAUUGAAGAGGAAGUGGGGGCGUUGGUUUAGUGAAGGUGUUCGUCGAUUGAUUAGGGUAGAAAAGGAAAACGUGUGUUUUUAUAAAAUUCAGACUUGGUUUAAUAUCUGAAU
rnacentral:lncRNA from 1 species